GGCAGUGGUGGUUUAGCAGUUAAGGCUCUCGGUUACUGACCAGAAGGUCGGGGGUUCAAGCCCCAGCACUGCCA